CAGUGUAUUGGCAAUUCUUGUAGAGCCAGGUGCAGCGGGAUAAAUUGUACUGUUAAGUGUACAGGAGUGUUUUGUGACGAGGAGAAAUUUGGGCAUGUGCCACCAGACGGAUCCAGCUUCAGAGUGAAACUGGCACAUUUAUGGAAUCUAUUAAAAAGAUAUUUGAAAUAAUGACCAGUUUUAUUAAUUAUUAAAAUUGGAU